rnacentral:lncRNA from 1 species
AAGAAAUCAAACACAAUCAAUUGACGCAUUCAAUCGAAUACGAUAAUAUGUUUGAGUUUGAUGCGAUUGCUUAAUAAGACACGAUCAAAUAUUUUGUUCUUGAUUCUUAAACAAUUCAUAUUUGAUUUAAACUUGAUUGUGAGCACUACUUGAAGACCCAGCGUGUUUUCUAAUAUAUUAUUUUUUUCUUCCAAUUUAAGAAUUUGUCAUCAACAAAUGAACAAUCACUCUAACUAAAGACAUAGCAGUAAAAGCAAAAAAUUGUAUCUUUUGUUAUACUAUAUUCCAACCAAGUAGGAUGCUCAUUAUACUACAAAACACAAUAUUGUCCAUCUUUGUUACCCAUUCUUGUGGGUGGAAGAAACUCAUGAUUGCGAGGCUAACAAGGACUCCUUUGCACAUAUACUCUUCAAUUCACGUCUCGAACAUUAACAUUAUAAUUUUGUAUUGGAACUCUCAAUUUAGGAUUUGAGGGUUGCUGUGCAACAUCAACAUCCCCAACUCUCCAACAUCAACAUUAAUAUUAACAUCGUUUUCAUUCAUUUUCUCUCGAAUAUUUGCUUAUAUUUUUGCUCAUCACAAGAAAGCGUAGAUUUACAUGAGAAGAAUUUGUCCAUAACUGAUACAAAUAAGAAAAAUCAAAGACAUUAGAAUCCCUAGAUCAAUUUUUUCCCCUAACUUAUACUUAUACAAAAUUUCAAACAUAUUAAUAAAAAAGUUUCAAUCUUCCUAAAUCAAUUUACACAUAAACAAGAAAGCCCUAACUUAGAAAUUCCUAAAUUAAAAAUCCUUAAAUCCCUAAAUCGGAAAACACAAUUGAUGACAACAUUGACAUUUGGCAGAAAUAUAAAUAAGAAAUUGACAUUAGCUAAAUUGCAGACACUAAAACUGGGAGAAAAUAACUAAAUUAAAUGGUAAUGUGACAUACCUUCAAGAAGAUGGCAGUGGAUGGAGUCAGAAGUUAGAAAAUUAGAAAUAUGCUGAUCACAGAAUGAUAGAAAUAUGCAGACCACAAACGACAUAGAAGAAGAUCUAAAGAUGCACAGCGUGACGACGAAAACAAUGGAAGAUUGUGGCGGGGGCUUAUUUUAAUGGGACAUAUUCAAUUUGGCAGUAUCUAAUGGCUUGUUCAAACGGUGAAGACGUGAAGCGAUGGCCGGUGGGUUUAUGGUAAUAAGGGUAGGGGCUUAUUCAAAUGGUGGGAGAGAAAGAGACAAAGCUGCAAUGUUGGUUGCAUUAUAAAUGUAGCGUUUAGAUUUUGACUUUUUAAAUUUUUAGAAAAACCAAAAUAAAACAAAAUUUCUUUUUCAAAAUCUAGGGGCUCAUGUGACACCCUAGGCCCACCCUGGUCUGCCCAUGUUGGUGGUGGUUG